rnacentral:rRNA from 1 species
GCAUAUCAAUAAGCGGAGGAAAAAGAAACCAACAGGGAUUGCCUCAGUAACGGCGAGUGAAGCGGCAACAGCUCAAAUUUGAAAUCUGGCCUCACGGUCCGAGUUGUAAUUUGUAGAGGAUGCUUUUGGCGAGGUGCUUUCCGAGUUCCCUGGAACGGGACGCCAUAGAGGGUGAGAGCCCCGUACGGUAAGACCACCGAGCCUCUGUAAAGCUCCUUCGACGAGUCGAGUAGUUUGGGAAUGCUGCUCUAAAUGGGAGGUGUACGUCUUCUAAAGCUAAAUACCGGCCAGAGACCGAUAGCGCACAAGUAGAGUGAUCGAAAGAUGAAAAGCACUUUGAAAAGAGGGUUAAAAAGUACGUGAAAUUGUUGAAAGGGAAGCAUUCAUGACCAGACUUGGGCUUGGUUGAACAUCCGGCGUUCUCGCCGGUGCACUCUGCCAGUCCAGGCCAGCAUCAGUUUGCCCCGGGGGACAAAGGCGGUGGGAAUGUGGCUCUCUUCGGGGAGUGUUAUAGCCCGCCGUGUAAUGCCCUGGGGCGGACUGAGGAACGCGCUUCGGCACGGAUGCUGGCGUAAUGGUCAUCAAUGACCCGUCUUGAAACACGGACCAAGGAGUCGUCUUCGUAUGCGAGUGUUCGGGUGUCAAACCCCUACGCGUAAUGAAAGUGAACGUAGGUGAGAGCUUCGGCGCAUCACCGACCGAUCCUGAUGUUCUCGGAUGGAUUUGAGUAAGAGCAUACGGGGCCGGACCCGAAAGAAGGUGAACUAUGCCUGUAUAGGGUGAAGCCAGAGGAAACUCUGGUGGAGGCUCGCAGCGGUUCUGACGUGCAAAUCGAUCGUCAAAUAUGGGCAUGGGGGGCGAAAGACUAAUCGAACCUUCUAGUAGCUGGUUUCCGCCGA